UAUUGGCGCAUACAUCUAUACUUUGUUUUACGCUCUGGAUGUUAUGUGUUAUCGAUCAGAAGUCCAUUUCCCUGGCACCCCAACCAAUGAAUUUUGAAACGAGACCAAGGGCUUUUUCGUGCUACACUUGUGUUAAAUAUUUACACUUAUUUCCAACGUGUGCAAUAACUAUCGUAAGUCCGUAUUUUUUUUACGCAUAAUUUAUUAUGUUUGGUUGUAAGCCCAUAUUGGUGCUAUUUAUGAAUAUUUUUGUUAAAAGAUGAUUUGCUGUUUUUAAUAGUUGAAAAUGUUGGGAAUAUGCGAUAACUAGGUAUUAAUUACCGCGGGUGACCGUAACUUAGAGAUACACUGUAAAUGAUAUUGUUAUAUGUGCUAAUCUC